rfam:Triticum urartu cultivar G1812 contig526867, whole genome shotgun sequence.
UAAUACGACUCGGGGUGCCGCUUUCCACACGGAAAGGGCUGAGAAAAACCCGCUGACCUGAACUGGAUAAUGCCAGCGUAGGGAAGUCUGAUGCCUGACCG